rnacentral:tRNA from 1 species
CCGCCCAUAGCACAAUUGGUUAGUGCACGGAGCUUAUAUCUCCGAGGUUCUUGGUUCGAGUCCAAGUGGGCGGA